GUGAAUGUGUGUUUAACAGCCCAGGUUGUUCCACUUAACGGCAGGUGUUGCCCAGUAUUGCCUCUGCUUCAUUCCGUUCCUUUCUUCUCUGCAUUUGGCUUGGUGCCCCUGAAGGUCACUCUGUUGUCCAGCUAAAGAUGGUGAAUGUUCCCUCUCCAGGCAGAAGCAGGCCAUUGGGGCUUGUUUUCAUUUUCUUUCCAAUUUAAAAGAAUGUAUUCAACAUUCCAUCUUUAGAAAAUGUGAUAACCAUCAAGUCUUUGCAUGAGAAAGCUGCCAGUUAAACCAAGGUUAGAGAAUUUCCAGCUUCCAGAAAUGCUCCUGCAUGACCAUCUCAGCCAGUACCCCACAACGAAGCCUCGAGUCUGACCUCCACCAUCAUAGGUUAGUUUUGUUUACUUUUGGACUUCAUAUAAAUGGAAUCAUACCGUGUGUACUCUUCUGUCUUUAAUUUGUUUCAUUGAACAUUAUGUCUAUGAGAUUCACACAUGUAUCAGUAGCUUAUUCUUCUUAUUUGGAGUGAUUUCAGAUACUCCCUACUGAUAGCAUUGUCUCAUGAGCAUGAGGCAGUGGGGGAAGAGGAAAAUUACAGAUAAAAAUAUAAAUAACACCAAAUCUGCUGACUAUAACGGUUUGAGAAUUCCAAGGGAGUUUGAGAAUGUUGAGACUGUCUCAGGCAGUGAGUCUUUGGUGGUUAAAGUAAAGCCAGAACUGUUUCCAGCCAUAUGACCCUUUGAGUCCAAUGGCACCUUAGAGUUAUGGGAAGUUGUUUACCUGGGAGACGAUAAUGUCCACAUCUCAGUGUCCAGUGCCCUGGUGUUGAACACCUAGACACCUAGACUAGUACUUUCUAUUUUGAGCAAAGAUGGGACCUUGUGCUCCUGGGACCUUUAAAUUUUUGUGAGGAGCCAGUGGAUAUGUCGGUGCACCGGCAUUGAGACUACAUGAAUACUACGUCUUGCAAAUGUAUUUAUUGCCACUUUUGUGGUCUGCAUAGAUGCUCUUCUGAUUAAUAAAUAUAAAAGUACUAGAUGUAUCAUUGACUCCAUUGUUUUCUGCCAUUUAGAUAGCUUUUUAAAAAAUGAAGCAAAAGGAAAAGUAUGAUGACAUUCAUGUAGAAGUGCUUUGGAAAUUUUCUGGUAUUAAGAUAUGUUCUUUUAUACUUAGAAAGGUUAGAAACCAUCUCGGUUUAUUGUACCCAGAAAGCAUUUAGGGCUCAAAAUGUGCUCGUUGAAUGUUGAACAAACAAGGAGAUGGGGCUCCUGGGAGAGUAAGUGACUAGACAAAGGUCUCACUGCAGUUAAUGGAAAAACUGCACAGGAAGGCAGGUCUCACGGCAUCAAGAAAGUCUAAAUUUUUACCCCUAAGGUUUUGCAUAGAUAACGGCUCCUGGGAACCAUCUUCUACCCUCCUUGUGUCUGGGUCUUUCUAAUUAGGCUUUCUCCCUUGUGUACCAAAUUCUCCCACAAAUCACUAAAGAUUUUAUAGGCCUUAAAUUGAAAACAAGAUGAUAUCAUUUUGUCAUAGUGCACAAGUUAGUAAUAAAAUAGUGUGAUUGUUUUUCAGUGAUUUGAUUUGAGAAGUUUGUAGUUAUUUGUGCCCAGACAGGUUAACCAGUAACUGCUUAGCCAGCUUGUCUGCAUUCAGUUCACUCUUUAGAAGGAGCAGCCUUUGACUAACCUCUCCCCAUUUCCCCCAUCCCCAGCCUCUGGCGGCCACUCUUCCACUCUAUUUCUAUGAGUUUGACUUUUUUAGAUUCCACAUAGAAGCAAGAUCAUACCGUCUUUGUCUUUCCCUGUCUGAGUUAUUUCACUUGGCAUCAUGUCUUCCAGGUUCAUCCAAGUUGUCGCAAAUGGCAAGAUUUGCUUCUUUUUGGCUAAAUAAUAUACAAUUAUAUAUAUAUACACACACACAAACACACAUAUACAUGUAUUUCACAAUUUAUGUAUUCAUGUCAAUGGACACUUAUGGUGGUUAUACCUUGGUUAUUGUGAACAGUGCUCCAAUGAAUAACGGAGUGCAGCUAUCUCUUUGAGCUAUUGAUUUCAUUCCUUCUCAACACCACACACACACACACACACACACACACACACACACACACACACACACACACACACUGGUAAGUAGGUGAGGUGAUGGAUGUAUGAACAAAAUUGAUUGUGGUCAUCAUUUUUUCACAAUAUAUACAUAUAUCAAAUCCUAAUAUUGUACAUCUUAAACUGAUAGAGUUUUGUCAGUUAGUUAUACCUCAAUAAAGCUGGAA
rnacentral:lncRNA from 10 species